UUAAGUUCAGCGGGUAUUCCUACCUGAUCCGAGGUCAACCUUUUGAUGUUUUGGGGGGUUUCACGGCUAGGCACCGCCAGUCCGCCCGGAGCGAGGUGGUAAGACUACUGCGCUCGGGGUCCUGGCGAGCUCGCCACUGAAUUUGAGGACCUGCCGCCCGCUGGGGGGGUCGGCAGUGCCCCAACACCAAGCGGUGCUUG
rnacentral:misc_RNA from 1 species